rnacentral:lncRNA from 1 species
GUGGGCGCUGGGUCAGAAGAGAUGCCACCUCACACCGCGCGAGAGAAGCAGCACGCGGCGCAGCCCGGGUCGCCAUGGAAACCACGUUGGCAGGGCUGACCCGGGGCAGACCCGGGCUGGUGGGUGGGGUUCCGCAGUGGCUCGUGCGGAGACGCUAAAGCGGCGGCUGGGGGCUGCGAGAAAGGCCACAAGAAGGACUGCGGAUUCGGGGUUCCCAUGACCCACAGCUCGGGACCCGGGAAGGGCAACAGAAAGUCGCUUCCCAGCCCACAAUCUCCAAAUCUGCCAGAUGAUCCGAACCACGUGGUUAGACACCAGAACUCCAGGUGCUCACUCCUGCUGGCUCGCUAAAUCAUAGUGUCCGCGGUGAGGACCCAGAAUCUGCAUUUAACCAGAGUACAGUAUCUUUAUAUAAAGUCCAGGAUGUUCGGAAGCAAGCAUAAAAGCAGUGGUGAUGUAGUUGGUACUGGCAAGAGACACCAGGAAUUGGAGGCCCAGAGAAAGGAUGAAGAGAGACAAGAGGAAGAAAUAACUGAAGAACUGAAGAGGUUCCUGAUGCAGGAAAUGGCAAGGGGAUUUUAUUUGAGGAGGCAUUGUUAGUUUUUAAGGUACAGGACCUGGACUUAGAACGGUACACGAAGGCUGCAGCAGCCAUCCAGAAUGUAGUCCAGCACUACUGUGUCAUCUAUGAUGAGUAAAACAGAGCUACUAGCCAGCCAUCACUGGAUUGUUUCUUCAAGAGGACAGGCAGAAUUGAAUCCAGCAAGGAGCCAGAAUCUGUUCCAUCAACGUCAGAUGGACCUUCAGCUUUUAUUUAGAGGGAAGGAACCUAGCAGAACCAGCAUCCCAUAUUAUCCCAGCCAUUUCUGUCUACCUUGCCCUGUUCUACCCAGAGGUGUGGCUACAUUUAAAGAGGAAGAAACAAAGGGAAGCAGAGCCAAUCCAAGGAUUCUGGGAGAAACUGCCCAAGAAGUGUGUUCUUGUUCCAGGCACUGUGCUCACAGUCCCGACAGCAAUAGCACAUCAUUCAGAUGCCCUUGA